AUUGUCAGUGUCAUCUGCCACUGUCAUUUUGUAAGGAAGUCUAGUUUUUCUUCAUGCAAUGAAGCCUUCAGAAUGAACCUGAAAACAGCACAAUUUUACCAACAGAGAGGAUGUGAGGGCAUGUGAGAAAAAUAGAGAGGAUUCCUCCAGCACAAUCCCUUCAGGGUCAUCUUUACAACCUGCUUUUUUAGCUGAAAAAAUAAAAAUAAAUAGCACAAAACUCACAACCUCCCCCAAAACAAACAAUUGCAAAAUAAAAUGAAAACCUUCCUCCAAAUCGAAAACAAAAGCAAGACUCUGAAAGAUGAACUAAAGUACCUGAAAUAGUUUAGAGAAGGAAAACAGAAUAUACUAUUCCUUAGCAAAGAGUAAAACCAAAUAAUCAGGAUUCCUCCUUUAUAUCCAACGGACAGGAUAAUAUGUUUUGAUGCAGUACAUAGCAGAUAUGAUUUCAGGGCAUGAACUGCAAAAAGGUUUGGUGGCUGUGAUUUUCUUGUGAAAGAUUGAAGUUCAUGUUACUGCAAAGUGUGUCACAAGACCCUAUUCACCCUUGGUGCAGCUCCAAACUCAUCCUGAUGAAGAAUUUCUAUUAUUUGCACUAGCUCUCUCUGUGGCAUGCCUGAAUUGUCUUCCCAUGCUGAAAGAUGGUGUCAUGUACUUUUAUGUGGAUUGCUCUUACAGAGAGAUAAACUCAGUUUGGAAGUUUGGAAGACCAAGCCCAUGGAGCUUUGCACUGUAAUAUACAAGAAUGAAAUAUGACUGAGAAGAUCAUGCAACAGCAAUUUUGUAAGUGUAUUUAUGAAGACAGCAACAUCAGUAAGAAAUAUGUUUUGGACAAGAAAGUAAAAGGAGUCAUCCAGACUCUGUACUGCCCGUGCACAAUCCCUUUUGGAGUGAAGUUACAGGACAGAGCCACAAUCCAAGUGCACUGUGAUGUGUGCAUUCCUCUUCACUUAUGAGCUGCUUUCAAUCCAUCCAAGAAUCAUUUUUCCUUGCCAGGUCUUGAAUUUAGAUGACAUUAACAGAUCUCAUUCAUUAACUACUUCCAUUUCUAUCUGCAUAAUGGUACUCAAUGACAGGUUUGUACUGCCUUUUACUGUCAUGUAA
rnacentral:lncRNA from 1 species